rnacentral:lncRNA from 1 species
GGUACGUUAAACAGAUUUGUAUGGUUAUGAGUUCUAUGCAAAAUAACGCAUCUCUAUAAUUUAUCCAUAUAGGAGUGCGAGAAUCAAAUCCAAGAUCGUCUCCUGAAGAUAAUCUAAAUAGCAAGUUGCCGGCAGAAGAACAAGAAGGGCCUACUUUUGGAGAGGAUGUCCGGAUGGCUGAAACUACAGAGGAUACCGUUUCACAUUCACCAUUACUAAAGGAAAAGAAUACUAACUUAUCAGCCAAGAGUCCUCAAUGUGAAAACUUGGCAGAUGAAAUGGAUGAAGAUAAGGGAAAUGAUGACGUGAAUGGAAGUAAAAGUGGAAUCGAUCUGCCUUCAUCAUCUUCUGCAAAGCCUCAAGAAGAAAGCGUUGAUAAUACAGAUGAUAAGUGCCCAGGAGCUGAAUCGUUGGCUGCUGAGGGACAGAAAGAAGAUGCGGACAAGGUAGACAAGGAAUCCGAAGUCGGGUCCCCAGCAGGAGAAGUGAAGGUUGACAACUCGUCAGAGCAGCCGGCUGAGGAAUCUGCUAGACCUAAUAAUGAGUGCGGCAAUGGUCUGGUUAUGGCUCAUAAUGAUGAAGAAAAGAAGGUCGACGACCCAAUAAUAGAAGAAACCGGUAAGAGUUCUCUGGCUUCUAACUUGAUUUUUCUUGAGCUUAGUUGUAUGACUCGUCUGGUACUUUAAAUAGAUUUGUAUAGAUUCGAGUUCUAUGCAAAAUAACGCAUCUUUACAAUUUAUCCUUAUAGGAGUGCGAGAACCAAAUCCAAGAUCAUCUCAUGAAGAUAAUCUAAAUAGCAUGUUGCCGGCAGAAGAACAAGAAGGGCCUACCUUUGGAGAGGAUGUCCGGAUGGCUGAAACUACAGAGGAUACCGUUUCACAUUCACCAUUACUAGAGGACAAGAAUCCUACUAACUUGUCUGCCAAGAGUCCUCAAUGCGAGAACUUGGUAGAUGAAAUGGACAAAGAUAAGGGAAAUGAUGACGUGAAUGGAAGUAAAAGUGGAAUCGAUCUGCCUUCAUCGUCUUCUGCAAAGCCUCAAGAAGAAAGCGUUGAUAAUACAGAUGAUAAGUGCCCAGGAGCUGAAUCGUUGGCAGAGAAGGUGGCGGAGCCAAUAAUAGAAGAAACUGGUAAGAAUUCUCUGGUAUCUAAUGUGAUUUUUCUUGAGCUUAGUUGUAUGAGUCGUCUGGUACUUUUAAUAGAUUUGUAUGGAUCCGAGUUCUAUGCAAAAUAACGCAUCUUUACAAUUUAUCCUUAUAGGAGUGCGAGAACCAAAUCCAAGAUCGUCUCCUGAAGAUAAUCUAAAUAGCAAGUUGCCGGCAGAAGAACAAGAAGGGCCUCCUUUUGGAGAGGAUGUCCGGAUGGCUGAAACUAUAGAGGAUACCGUUUCACAUUCACCAUUACUAGAGGACAAGAAUACUACUAACUUGUCAGCCAAGAGUCCUCAUUGCGAGAACUUGGUAGAUGAAAUGGAAGAAGAUAAGGGAAAUGAUGACGUGAAUGGAAGUAAAAGUGGAAUCGAUCUGCCUUCAUCAUCUUCUGCAAAGCCUCAAGAAGAAAGCGUUGAUAAUACAGAUGACAAGUGCCCAGGAGCUGAAUCGUUGGCAGCUGAGGAACAGAAAGAAGAUGCGGACAAGGUAGGCAAGGAAUCCGAAGUCAGGUCCCCAGCAGGAGAAGUGAAGAAGGAUAACUCGUCAGAGCAGCCAGCUGAGGAACCUGCUGGAUCUAAUAAUGAGGGCGGCAAUGAUGUGGUUAUGGCUCAUAAUGAUGAAGAAGAGAAGGUCGACGAGCCAAUAAUAGAAGAAACUGGUAAGAGUUCUCGGGUUUCUAACUUGAUUUUUCUUGAGCUUAGUUGUAUGANNNNNNNNNNNNNNNNNNNNNNNNNNNNNNNNNNNNNNNNNNNNNNNNNNNNNNNNNNNNCUUGGCAGAUGAAAUGGGUGAAGAUAAGGGAAAUGAUGACGUGAAUGGAAGUAAAAGUGGAAUCGAUGUGCCUUCAUCAUCUUCUGCAAAGCCUCAAGAAGAAAGCGUUGAUAAUACAGAUGACAAGUGCCCAGGAGCUGAAUCGUUGGCAGCUGAGGGACAGAAAGAAGAUGCGGACAAGGUAGACAAGGAAUCCGAAGUCGGGUCCCCAGCAGGAGAAGUGAAGAUGGAUAACUCGUCAGAGCAGCCAGCUGAGGAACCUGCUGGACCUAAUAAUGAGGGCGGCAAUGAUGUGGUUAUGGCUCAUAAUGAUGAAGAAGAGAAGGUCGACGAGCCAAUAAUAGAAGAAACUGGUAAGAGUUCUCGGGUUUCUAACUUGAUUUUUCUUGAGCUUAGUUGUAUGAGUCGUCUGGU